CCUACGGGAGGCUGCAGUGAGGAAUAUUGGUCAAUGGACGAGAGUCUGAACCAGCCAAGUAGCGUGAAGGAUGACUGUGCUAUGGGUUGUAAACUUCUUUUAUAAAGGAAUAAAACGAGGCACGUGUGCCUUUUUGCAUGUACUUUAUGAAUAAGGAUCGGCUAACUCCGUGCCAGCAGCCGCGGUAAUACGGAGGAUCCGAGCGUUAUCCGGAUUUAUUGGGUUUAAAGGGAGCGUAGAUGGGUUGGUAAGUCAGUUGUGAAAGCUUGAGGCUCAACCGUAAAAUUGCAGUUGAUACUGGCUGUCUUGAGUACAGUUGAGGUAGGCGGAAUGCGUGGUGUAGCGGUGAAAUGCUUAGAUAUCACGAAGAACCCCGAUUGCGAAGGCAGCUUACUAAGCUGUGACUGACAUUGAUGCUCGAAAGUGUGGGUAUCAAACAGGAUUAGAUACCCGAGUAGUC
rnacentral:rRNA from 1 species